rnacentral:rRNA from 1 species
GACGAACGCUGGCGGCGUGCUUAACACAUGCAAGUCGAGCGGUAAGGCCCUUUCGGGGGUACACGAGCGGCGAACGGGUGAGUAACACGUGGGUGACCUGCCCUCAGCUCUGGGAUAAGCCUGGGAAACCGGGUCUAAUACUGGAUAUGACUCCAUGACGCAUGUUGUGGGGUGGAAAGCCUUGUGCGGCUGAGGAUGGGCCCGCGGCCUAUCAGCUUGUUGGUGGGGUGAUGGCCUACCAAGGCGACGACGGGUAGCCGGCCUGAGAGGGCGACCGGCCACACUGGGACUGAGACACGGCCCAGACUCCUACGGGAGGCAGCAGUGGGGAAUCUUGCGCAAUGGGCGAAAGCCUGACGCAGCGACGCCGCGUGAGGGAUGACGGCCUGG